UAACCCCAGCGCCACAAGUGGCAAUCACAUUUAUUGGGCCUAAAGCGUCCGUAGCCGGUUUGGAAAAUCUCGUGUGAAAUCGUCAUGCUCAACGUGACGGCGUGCACAAGACACUACCAGACUAGGGACCGGGAGGAGUCAGAGGUAUGCCGGGGGGAGCGGUAAAAUGCUAUAAUCCCUGGUGGACCACCUGUGGCGAAGGCGUCUGACCAGAACGGAUUCGACGGUGAGGGACGAAAGCUAGGGGAGCGAACCGGAUUAGAUACCCGAGUAGUCCUAGCUGUAAACGCUGCGAGCUAGGUGUUGCGCAUUCUUCGAGAAUGCGCAGUGUCGAAGCGAAGGUGAUAAGCUCGCCGCCUGGGAAGUACGGUCGCAAGACUG
rnacentral:rRNA from 1 species